AAUUGGGAAAAGUUUGCUUGGAUAUAUACAUUUAAAAAUUACACAUCAUUUAAAAUUAUGGUUAAUCUUAUAAAAAACAGAAUAAAUCUAAUGUAAGGAUUUCCCUGUUCAAGGAUAUUUGGAGGAAAAUAAGAAAAAGGGUCUAUGCCAAAAAUGAAUGUUUUCUCCACUAAUAUAUGGUCUGGAGUUCGAGUCUUAACCAAAGCUAAUCAUACCGAAGAAAAAUGGAAUAACGCUACAAUUGAUCACUCUUCCUCCUCUGAGAUAGAGAAAUGGCAUGAUGGCUUUGGAAGGCAUUGUAAUUAUUGAUUUUUUUUUUUUUCCAAAGAGAUUAUAGAAUUCAGCACAAAGCCUAGAAUACGGAAAAAUUCACCCAAAUCCUGCUAAUAAGCCCAUUGGCGAAGGCCCAAAGGCCACAGAACCAGAACCCUAGAGCUUGGUACCUGCUGAGGUCAAAGGAGCAGCGCCUUUAUCAUCUCUUCACAGUGCUGCUGCCUGCAUCGCCUGGUAAACAGGCCCCAGUGGGAAUGUAACAACUACCAGGAGCAAGGAAACCAAUAAGGACUCUACCACUGGAAGCAUGCAAGGCUAAGAACAACCAAAAAAGCAGAAACCCCAAUGUCAAAAACAUCACCCCAAUCUCUUGAAGGUUGAAGCCCGGAUCUUUCUCCAAAGGCUCUGAAAGAGAGAUAUGGCAGAGCUCUGGCAUCUAAUUCUUAUUUAGCCGUUGGGUCAGUGGCUUGCAUCAUCAAGUGCGGGUAUAGAACCCCGAGUUACCAUCUCCCUUUGCAACUCAUCAUGUCAAAUCUGCACCAUAACUCAACCAAAUAAAGCACUAAAACAGAAACGUAGAUCAUAAAAUCAAUCCUCAUCACAGCUCCACAGAUAUUUUACCAAAAGCCACAAAACCAAAUAUUUACAUCCUACCCGAAGGUAGGGAGGGAGAAACCAUGCCCCAGGCCUUUAGGGAAACCCUUCUUUGUCCGGAUGGGGUAAAAGAAAGCUGCAAACGCCGUAGAACUUGAAGGCCAGGAGCCUCAAAAACAAUAAGACAGAGAGGAAUUUCUCUCUCUAGAAAGCUAGAGAGAGAAACAAUUUGUUAUUCCACACCUUUUUGCAUUGUAAUUAAUGAUGAUGGGUGAGAUUCCCGUGAAUGCACCUUGCUAAGGCAACAUUACUCUGUAUUUUUUUCUCUAGGGCCAGAAAUUGAUCCAAACAUCCCAGUACUCGCAUGCCUUCCUUCAAUUUCUUGUAUACUUCAAGGCCUAGUAACGAAGUCCUCACCUUUAGUCACUCGGCUAGCUUUGGCAUAACAGAAGUUUAUACCCGUUUAUGGUGAAUCUAAGACAUAAAAUAUAAUAAAAUUCACUUACUAAAUUAAGUACAUAAUUUCGACCGUAUCUAGGCAAGAAUUUCAUGCGACCGUGAAUUUGAAUCAACAAAAAAACUAGUGCAUACUAAAAAUGGCAACAGCUGAUCUACUCAUGUGAUAAUAAAUCUGUUAUGCAUAUUUCAAAUGCUGAUGUAAUUAUGUCUAUCUAGAAAUCUAUUUCUUCACUUGGAAGAAAAAUACAUGGAACUUUGGAGGCUCCUCUUGUUAUUGGCACCACAUCAUGGUCACCACCGCAUCACUGCCAUCACCUCAAGCUUACUACACUGAAUCAGUAUGCUUUGAUUCCCCAAGUAUCAGAAUCCACAGAUUUAAUCUUCAUAUGAUCAUACACUCUAAGUUUGAAGAAGCAUCAACUAUCAACAAAUUUCCAAAG
rnacentral:misc_RNA from 1 species